UACGGGGGGGGCAAGCGUUGUUCGGAAUUACUGGGCGUAAAGGGCUCGUAGGUGGCCAACUAAGUCGGACGUGAAAUCCCUCGGCUUAACCGGGAAACUGCGUCCGAUACUGGAUGGCUUGAGUUUGGGAGAGGGAUGCGGAAUUCCAGGUGUAGCGGUGAAAUGCGUAGAUAUCUGGAGGAACACCGGUGGCGAAGGCGGCAUCCUGGACCAACACUGACACUGAGGAGCGAAAGCCAGGGGAGCAAACGGG
rnacentral:rRNA from 1 species